rnacentral:rRNA from 1 species
CCCUUAGAUGUCCUGGGCCGCACACGCGCUACACUGAUGCAUGCAACGAGUUUAUAACCUUGGCCUGAAAGGUCUGGGUAAUCUUUUGAACGUGCAUCGUGAUAGGGAUAGAUUAUUGCAAUUGUUAAUCUUGAACGAGGAAUUCCUAGUAAACGCGAGUCAUCAGCUCGCAUUGAUUACGUCCCUGCCCUUUGUACACACCGCCCGUCGCACCUACCGAUUGAAUGGUUCGGUGAAGAUCUCGGACUUCGAUAUUUAUUCUUUAUUGAGUUUAUAUUGUGGGAAGUUAUCUAAACCUCAUCAUUUAGAGGAAGGUGAAGUCGUAACA